AUUGAACGCUGGCGGCAGGCUUAACACAUGCAAGUCGAGCGGAGAUGAGGUGCUUGCACCUUAUCUUAGCGGCGGACGGGUGAGUAAUGCUUAGGAAUCUGCCUAUUAGUGGGGGACAACAUUCCGAAAGGAAUGCUAAUACCGCAUACGUCCUACGGGAGAAAGCAGGGGAUCUUCGGACCUUGCGCUAAUAGAUGAGCCUAAGUCGGAUUAGCUAGUUGGUGGGGUAAAGGCCUACCAAGGCGACGGUCUGUAGCGGGUCUGAGAGGAUGAUCCGCCACACUGGGACUGAGACACGGCCCAGACUCCUACGGGAGGCAGCAGUGGGGAAUAUUGGACAAUGGGCGCAAGCCUGAUCCAGCCAUGCCGCGUGUGUGAAGAAGGCCUUAUGGUUGUAAAGCACUUUAAGCGAGGAGGAGGCUACUUUAGUUAAUACCUAGAGAUAGUGGACGUUACUCGCGGAAUAAGCACCGGCUAACUACGUGCCAGCCGCCGCUGUAACAC
rnacentral:rRNA from 1 species